GAAAUUUUUACAGGUGAAUCAUUAUGUCUGAGUUGGAUGGUGGGUUGAGUAUGGCUUGCUUUACUAAUGAGUACUGCAUUCAUUGUUUGUUAUAACAUAUUUCUAAGAGGCAUGGUGGUUCAAUUAAAUAAUGGAGGUUAGGGAAGACUGUGAUAUACGAUAAGUCAAUGAGGUUUGUCUUAUAUGUAUAUAUCGUUCUUGCAGGGGAGCUGCGGUGGAACUUGUGGAGCCUUGACAUGUAGGUGUUUGCAAGGGGAACCUUGUAUGAAUUAUGUUUAUUGUACUGACUAGUUUGGGUUGGGUGUUGGCAAUACCAUAAUCCUUCCUAAUGUCCUUAAAAAACAGCCUUAUGUGAGAGAUAAACUUUAAAUUCUGGAUAUCACAAUGCUAGGAAUUCUUAUUUGUUGUUUAUAAUUUAAUUUAUAAUUGUUUCUCUUUGUUGUCAACAAUUCAUGGAGCUUCACGCUGUGAAUUCAGAUUUCAAUUAGAAUGCAGAAUUUAUUGGACUCGAGAAGCCAUUCAUCGAGCAUGCCGCUUUGUGGAUGAGUAUCUACUAUUGAAUACCUUUCUCGCUGGUUAUAGCCUCACAAUUGUAGAUGUUGCAGUCUGGACUGCUCUUGCUGGGUUCCUGUAGUGGCUAUGGUAACACUACAGGUUUUUGCUCCUCUAUGGUAUGUAUGUCUCCAUCUUCUCACUCGGAGCACAAAGCGAAUCUGAGCAGAUCUAGAUCCCAAAUCCAGUUCUUGCAUUCCCCUCUAUUUUUUCCAUUUCAGGUAGCUUCUUUGCUUGAUUAUGUAUUUCUUUCUACAUUUUAUGCCUGCUGGAUUAUAGAUUCAUUUCAGGUUCAAGAGAUUAUGCCUGAAGUAUAAAGGUUACAAGUCUAUUGGUGCUAGAAACAUUGUAUGAUAGAUUUUUGUUUUAGCUAUAAGGUAGUUGGUAUUUUCAAUUUUGAAUCGGAAUAUGCAAUGAUGAUGUAUACUUGAUAUUUGGUUCGUUUGUAUAAUAAUGUAUGAAUUUUUUGGAUGAUAUAUAAUAUUGUUAUCGUUGAUUU